CUUAUUUACACUUAUGUAAGGUGUGAAAAAUUGUGUGAGGCCAAUACGCUUAGCCCUCUUUGCUUCAGCUGACCUCUUCACAAGUGCAGAUGCUGUGAUCUCAUUUCUCUUCAUGUAUUUUGCUGACCUGAUGGGACAAAGACCUUCCAACCGGAUAGACUAUUAUUAUUUUUCAUGAAGAAGAUCAAAUCCUGUAACACUGUAGAAAAAUGUUCUGUGAGAAAGUGUUGAAGACUCUUUGUGGAAAUUAUGCCCAUCCGUUGAUUCUAAUUAAUUAUUUUGAAUAAUUGAUAAUAUAUUUGAUGUGGAUAUAUCAAGGUAUAUUUAUCAACUCUUCAAAUAAUGGAAAUUGAGUUUUUAAAUGUCUGUGCAUUCUUAAUGUUGUGUAGCUUGAAUCAUAUGUCAAAUUCAAGAACCAGGUAUCUUAAGACAAACCAACCAUCAAAUCUGGAGAAAAAUAGCUACUUUCAAGAAUACAUGCUAAAAUUUUCUUGGCUGCCAUGAACUCAGCAUUUUUGCUUCACCAUGCCCUUCUGCCGUGAUGCUCCUGUCUCGGAGCCAUGGGUGGAUUCCCUGAACCAUGAGCCAAGGUAUGAAAAAUUGAAACAGCUGCCUGGCCGGAAACCAUCCCACUGAUGCCAGCAGCUGCCCUGCCAGACCACGCUGUGAGGGGCCUUGUGGUAUCUGAAUCCACACAACAGAGGUGCCGGGGGGAACACAAAGGCUGUGGCUGUGAGCCCCAGAAGAUAGAGAAGAAGUGAACAACAGAGAGGGCCUCUCUGAGGCUCCUCAAUGAAAAUUGAAACCCACUGGGAAAAUGAAGAAAAUCUCUUCAAUAAAAGCACACUGGACCAUCGUGGUUGAAUUGUUCUAUAUGAUUCGGAUACAUACAAAACAGUGGAGGAAGAAUCAAUCAAUUGAGCUUUGACAAUUGGCAGCCCAUGUAGAAAAAACAAGACAUUGGUAAGUUAUUCUAUAUCAGAACCAAAAAUAAAUUACAGAUUGGUUAAAAAUUUAAAUGUGAAAAUAACUAUAAACUUUUGAACUUCAAAAAAAAAAAUAGCCAACAGGACCUUUAUCAGCCCAAUUAAGGUAAGCAGGCAAGAACCUGAAUGGACAUUAUCAAAAACUUAUACCGUAGCAAAAUUAAAUUUUAGUGGUUUCCAAAGGAUAGUGUCAAAAAAGUAAAAACCAAG
ensembl:lncRNA